GACGGAGGAUGCAAGCGUUAUCCGGAAUGAUUGGGCGUAAAGCGUCCGCAGGCGGCAGUUCAAGUCUGCUGUCAAAGACCGGGGCUUAACUUCGGAAAGGCAGUGGAAACUGAACAGCUAGAGUAUGGUAGGGGCAGAGGGAAUUCCUGGUGUAGCGGUGAAAUGCGUAGAGAUCAGGAAGAACAUCGGUGGCGAAGGCGCUCUGCUGGGCCAUAACUGACACUCAGGGACGAAAGCUAGGGGAGCGAAUGGG
rnacentral:rRNA from 1 species